rnacentral:rRNA from 1 species
UACGGAGGGUGCAAACGUUGCUCGGAAUCAUUGGGCGUAAAGCGCGCGUAGGCGGUUUACCAAGUUGGAUGUGAAAGCCCUGGGCUCAACCCGGGAAGUGCAUCCAAAACUGGUAGACUUGAAUCUCGGAGGGGGUCAGAGAAUUCCCGGUGUAGAGGUGAAAUUCGUAGAUAUCGGGAGGAAUACCAGUGGCGAAGGCGCUGGCCUGGACGAAGAUUGACGCUGAGGCGCGAAAGCGUGGGUAGCAAACAGG